GAAUAUUGGACAAUGGGGGCAACCCUGAUCCAGCCAUCCCGCGUGUGCGAUGAGGGCCUUCGGGUUGUAAAGCACUUUUGGCCGGGAAGAAAAGGCCAUGGCUAAUACCUGGAGCUGCUGACGGAACCUGCAGAAUAAGCACCGGCUAACUACGUGACAGCAGCCGCGGUAAUACGUAGGGUGCAAGCGUUAAUCGGAAUUACUGGGCGUAAAGCGUGCGCAGGCGGUUCGGCAAGAAGGAUGUGAAAUCCCAGGGCUUAACCUUGGAACUGCAUUCUUAACUGCCGGGCUAGAGUAUGUCAGAGGGGGGUAGAAUUCCGCGUGUAGCAGUGAAAUGCGUAGAGAUGCGGAGGAAUACCGAUGGCGAAGGCAGCCCCCUGGGAUAAUACUGACGCUCAUGCACGAAAGCGUGGGGAGCAAAC
rnacentral:rRNA from 1 species